rnacentral:rRNA from 1 species
UACGAAGGGGGCUAGCGUUGCUCGGAAUGACUGGGCGUAAAGGGCGCGUAGGCGGACGGCUUUGUCGGGCGUGAAAUUCCAGGGCUUAACCUUGGGGCUGCGUUCGAGACGGGUUGUCUAGAGUUUGGAAGAGGGUCGUGGAAUUCCCAGUGUAGAGGUGAAAUGCGUAGAUAUCGGGAGGAACACCUGUGGCGAAAGCGGCUCACUGGACCAUUACUGACGCUGAUGCACGAAAGCUAGGGGAGCAAACAGG